AAGAGAGUACAAUUGCAGAUAAUUUCUGAAACCUCGGCCAAGAACCAGAGCCUGGUCGGUGCCGGUGAUUUCAGAAAUGAAUCCAGCGCCGGUGCUUGUGUGAAGGAAGGAGACUGAUCCUCUGGAUUUGCAGAGUCCUGGAAGAUACCUUUGGUGAUGAAAAACAUCUAUUUGGAUAAGGCAGCCUCCAGUGGGGAGCAGUGGGUUUCCGAGGUGACUGUCUGAGGACGGAGACAGAACCCCUGAGCAGUGUCCUCAGCCGCCUCAGGUCCCUGUGCUGCAGCCACAGGACUUUUCCCACUCUGAGCCCCUGGGCAGUUUCUGCUCCUCCAUCUGCCUUCGCAAUGCUUCCCCCUCGGCCUGGUCCGCACUUGCGGGGUACAAUGAACUGCUUGUGGAGUUUAUUUUCAUAAGGCAGUUUUGUUUUUUCAGAUAAUCAUGUAUUUGGCAUGUAUUUAAGAAUGGUUUUACUAGUAUGUUUACAACAUUUAGGUUGGGACAUAAAGUGGCCUUGGCAGAAAUCAUUUUGUGUCUCCCCUGGCCCCAGAUUUUAUGUAAGUCCCAGUUGACAGCCCUGCUCAGAGCUGCACAAGUCCCUUUGGAGGAUGUUAUAUGAUUUCAAAGGGUCACUGCGAUUAGGAGGCAGAUGAGGAAGAAGACAAGAAUGGUUGGAAAUCACCUAGGGCAAAGCAAAUUCAUGCCAAAAAAGACUUUGGGGGAGGAGCUGAAUGGGACCAUAAUGUCUCCAACAUUCUGCUUACUAAAACUUUCACACACAGCCAUGUUUCCCACGUCUCUCAAGGACCGCUUAAGUGGGGACCCAUUCAGAAUAGGUGGGGACCUAUGAAAGCCCAGGGAGGUGGUGUUUAUUGGCUCUGCAUGGUCAGCUACGUCUGUGGUCUGUCAGGGAAGGCAGCCCAUUGCCUCUCGGCGUCUGUCCCCAGCACACGGGGCACUGUGCUGUGGGAGCAUCCUUCCUCCCCACCCCCCAUCCCGGAUUCUGGUCUUGAACCAAGCAUGUGGCCAGCCUGGGAAUAAAAACACGGUAUCUGACCCUUCCAAGAGGAAGAACGCCAAGAGGACUGGUCACAGGAGAGGACAAAGCUGGCUGGGCUGUUCUUAUCGCUCGCUGCUGCCCCUGACUCCUUUUGCCCAAGCCCUUGCUCACUCGCUCAUCGGUUUCAUUUUUUUAGUCAGAGAGACGCUGUGACCGUGAGCUGACUGAUGCUGUAACCAUGUAUCCUGGCUUAGGUGCUGUUGAAUUCCCAGCACCAGCCACCUGCUGGCUGUUUGCUGACAGUUUGAUGAAUAAAUUUUAGGAACACUGUUUUCCACUCA